UCAAUCGCCGCUACAGGGUAGUAGUGCAGCUGGGUGUAGCAGGGCUAGGGCGAGAUACCACCGCGCCGCUGCACGCCUGCAUCUGCCUGCGCCGCCUCCUCCCGGCGACUUGCCGUAGCGCCGUAGGUUCCUUAUCUCGUCGGAGGGAUUCGAUUGCCAUUCUCACCACUUGUGGUGGCCGCUGGGGUUUGCAGAUCUAGGCCGGCCGCGACAUUGCGGGUGGGGUUAGCGGAGAUGGAGUCUUCACCCCUCACCUGAACUCACCGCCUCCUUCUGCCCGUCCCGCGACAGCAAGGUCUAGCCAGUCGCUUGCCCUGGUGAACUCGACUCAUCACCGGCCUCUCUAAUCCAUUCCCUCGCCGCGUGCGCUCCACCAGGGUCCCUCGAUAAAGUGGGGAAUUGACUUCAGUGCGAAGGUUUCUGGAAGUACUUGUUUAAAAUGGCUCAAAAAGAGGAUGGCAUCUAUGAUUUGCCAACCGAGCCUCCUUUGAUGACUAUCAACUUGAAGCUGAGCCACGACAAUGACUUUGCAAAAUUACACCGCUCUUAUGCAAGCCAGGUGGAGCGCCUACGGAGAAGUCUCAAGAAGAAAUUUAAGACCCUCGUGAAGGGCAAGGGAAGUAAGCAGAAGGAGUUUCAUCUCACUCCAGAUGGGAUCUGUGUUUUCACGGUUGCAUUCACUGAUGGUAAGAGGACUGUCACCGCUAUCAUUGAAGGAAGACAUAUGUGGGUGAGAGGGUUCCAAACUACAGAUGGAACCAUUUAUGAGUUCCUUAAAAAUAAGGAGGAAGAGAGUGAUGAGAGCGAUAAGAAAAAGAAGAAGAAGCAGCAGGACGACGAGAGACAUGAACCAAGGAAGUAUAUCAAAGGGUCCAUCUUACUUUCCCAUGGGGGAGGAUACCCUAGACUACUUCCUGGAGGUCCUGAUGAACUAGAAAACUUUGAAGUGGGAUAUCCUGCCCUGAAAGAUAUGCUUAACGAGCUAUCCGAGUUCGAUCCAACAAGGUCUUCUGUCAAGUCUCUGCGUGCAAUGGCAGCACUGAUAAUACACACUGCCGAGAGCAUAAAGAAUAACUUCAUCCACUUGAUUGUUUUGAAAUCACUCGAUCCACUGCUGGGUGCGCGGAUGCAGCGUUUGGCAGAACUGGGGAAGGCCUACAUCAACAACUGGGGAAAGAUAUCAAGACUAAUCCUGAGAUAUCUUCAUAUUUCAACCAAAGUUUGGGAUGUAAAUGAGCAGAAAAAGGUGAAAAAUGAAGAGUUCUAUAAAGUCCCAUGUUGGACAAAAGAUCCAAAGGAUGUGCUCAAUCAUAUCAUAUUCAUAAAAGGUGAUGAAUUCCCAGAUACGGUUCUGCACGUAGAAGAUGGCAAGACACGCAACCUGCCAGAUGUACUUCAAGCUUCUCUCGGUGUGGUUGUUGUGGGGGGAGUGAACCUCGCCCUAGAGUAUACAACAGAUAUUCCUUGUGUCGCUCAAGUGUUACUGCGAGCAACUUCAUUGUCGUCAAAUGUCCAGCUCGUUGAAGGAGAGUUUCCCAUCUACACAAGUGAUCACUUGGACUUGUGUACUCUGCAUCUGAAUUUGAGGAAAAAAGAAGGACAUCACAAGGAAGUGGUUAAGUUAACCCUAACAGUGAGUGCUUUGCUCGAGGCGACUGCACAUGUGAGCCAAGUUGAUGAUGAAGCUAUCUACUGUCAAAGGACUGAAACAUGUCAAACGAACAGUGAGAUGAGCAGGAACCAACUGGAGGUAUAUUCAAGAAACAUAGAAUUAUUCGAGAAACUAGCAGAUAAAAGAGCUACACAAUCAGGAGAAGAGUACCCAAUGAUUGAUCCAAUGCUUUUGCUGUCUAAUAAGAAAGAGACACCACUAGUGUUAAAAGAGAUUGGUGUUGAACUGGUGUGCUGAUACUACCAUGAAAUGUACUAAGUUCCAGGCCAUCGGUAAUUCUUGGAGCCCUUGCUUUAUUAGGCAAAUGUAAGCUGGAAGAAUUAUGGAGUAUUCUUGAAAGAUGAAGAGUGCCGAAGUGGCCCACAUGAUUGAAAGAGACACUGGUCAAAUCCGCGCUUCAGGCUACACCUACCUCCCCCAUUAGUUGCUUCAAGUUUAAUAAAAGACAGUGCAAGAGAUUAAGCUCCAUUUCUUCCAACUUCUGGUGGAGUGCAGCAGACGGAUCUAGGAAGGUGCACUGAUCGCUUGGUACAAAAUGUGUUGCCCAAAAAGGGAAGGAGGGAUGGGAUUUCGGAACUUUGAGGUUUUCAAUCAAGCUCUUCUUGCCAAGCAGGCCUGGAGAAUUCUCACGGUUCCAGACUCUCUUUGUCGUCGAGUUCUUAAGGCAAGAUACUUCCCGAGCUUUAGCUUCCUUUCUGCCACAUGCCCUUCACGUGGUUGAUUCACAUGGAGAAGCAUACUGUAUGGUCGGGAUCUGCUUAACCGGGGUCUCAUUUGGAGGCUCGGCGAUGGUACACAAGUGGACAUAUGGGGAAGCAAUUGGAUUCCUCGAGCUGGUGCGCAACGACCACUGGGUCGGAAGUGCGAGACCGACAUCAUAAAGGUGGCUGAGCUUUUCAAUCAGCAGGGUACAGGAUGGAACGGAGAUAAACUACAGCAGCUGUUCCAUGAUUUUGAUGUCAAUGAUAUCUAGAAGAUCCCGAUCGGUGGAGUUGGAACACAGGAUUAUUAUGCUUGGAAUUUUACUAAAAAUGGAGUUUUCACGGUAAGAUCAGCUUAUCACCUCUGUAUGGAGUUAAUAAAGAUGGAUGGAGGUCUGUUGGAAACAUUGACAUCGAUGGAGGCUCACAAAGGAUGCUCUCUGGGGUGCUCUCCUGUUCCUAGUAAGGUGAAGAUUGAUGUGUGGCGGUUGCUGAAAAACGUCUUGCUGUGGGAGCUGAGCUUCAACAUAGGAAAAUAAAUCAUGGAGUCGUUUGCGUGUUGCGUGUGGACGGGAAGAAACUGCUAUUCACAGAUUUUGGCUUUGCCCGCACCCUCGGCACAUUUGGGAGGUAAUUCGUGGUCUUGGCACUGGCCUGACUAUAGAGCGCCCUGCGAAUAUUCGUUCCCCUCGGGAGUUGCUUCAAUGGAUGCUGGAAUGGCUUGGAAGGGUGCACGACUCGGAGCUAGACACCACGAUGAUGGCUCUGUACCAUAUGUGGUUAUCCAGGAAUGAAGCCAGGGACAAGCAGAUAGAAAACCCAGAUGCGCUGGCUAAGCGUAUUGUUCACCUCACAGAAGAAUGGAGAAUUAUUCGGCCCCAAAACCACCUAAGGCUGCUUUAAGUAGAGAGCACUGCCUCCUUCCAAGGGUGGGAUGGAUGAAAGUCAAUGCUGAUGGUGCGGUAGCGAAAUCUUCGGAGAAAGGAGGAGGAGGUAUGGUCGUGCGUGACCACCAUGGAAGCUUCCUUGUGGCGGCUUGCCACUUUUUCUCUCCACUUUUGGAUCCGGAGGAUGCAGAACUCUAUGCAUGCCAUGCUGCUCUAGGCCUGGUGAAAAGCUGAGAUUGCCGAGAGUGAUUCUGGAGAUGGAUAGUUUGGGUGUUGUCAAAGCUGUUGUUAGCACCUUGGCACUGAAGCACUCGAUUCAGUCAUCAAUCCGGCUACAGCCAUGGAUUUAGAGGUGAGAGGAAGGAAUCAGAGGAACAGGAGAAGAAAGACGAAGCCAAGUCUAGUUCAGGCCGAAGCCAUCCGUUCUGUCCAAGCCCCCCCCCCCCCCCCACCC